GGAAUUUUCCGCAAUGGGCGAAAGCCUGACGGAGCAACGCCGCGUGAGGGAUGAAGGCCUCUGGGCUGUAAACCUCUUUUCUCAAGGAAGAAGAACUGACGGUACUUGAGGAAUAAGCCACGGCUAAUUCCGUGCCAGCAGCCGCGGUAAUACGGGAGUGGCAAGCGUUAUCCGGAAUUAUUGGGCGUAAAGCGUCCGCAGGCGGCCUCGUAAGUCUGUCGUUAAAGCGUGGAGCUUAACUCCAUUUGAGCGAUGGAAACUGUGAGGCUUGAGUGUGGUAGGGGCAGAGGGAAUUCCCGGUGUAGCGGUGAAAUGCGUAGAUAUCGGGAAGAACACCAGUGGCGAAGGCGCUCUGCUGGGCCAUAACUGACGCUCAUGGACGAAAGCCAGGGGAGCGAAAGGGAUUAGAUACCCCUGUAGUCCUGGCCGUAAACGAUGAACACUAGGUGUCGGGGGAAUCGACCCCCUCGGUGUCGUAGCCAACGCGUUAAGUGUUCCGCCUGGGGAGUACGCACGCAAGUGUGAAACUCAAAGGAAUUGACGG
rnacentral:rRNA from 1 species